ensembl:lncRNA
UUCAUAUACUUGGGAAUUUCCUGGAUGAAAUCUGAACUGGUCACUGGCCACAGAGGUCAAGGAGAGACAGAAGAGAGAGAGACCAUGCUCCGUUUGAGAGGCUCCAUCAAGAGGCUCCAUUGAGAGGCAGCAGGUGGGAUAAGGCAGAAAACUUAAAAGUCUCGCCUCCAAGGGGCUGUGCAAUGAAUAGAUCUCCACAUCUGUCCACCAAAUCUUAAAAGCUUAUAGAGAGGCCUCAUUGGGGUUCAGACACCUACUCAGUUUGGUAGGUCUCAACAACGUGUCACUCUCUGAAGGCGAGUCCCUGAAACCAUCUCCUACCCGGAGCACUGGGCAGAAGGUCACUCCAACAACAGAGGAGAGAGUGUGGUCCCUCCCACUGCCCGUGUGUAGCUCGUCGGGGGAGGGCGGGGUCAGCCCACCAUCCUGUGCCCUGGAUGACCUCCUCCAAUGAGGAUAGAGGAAUUAGCUUUCACAAUCACGGAAGCCAAGAAGACCUACAGUUAUCUGCCAGCCAGAGACCCAGAAGAGCCAGUGCUGUACUUCAGUCUGAAGUUCUGAGUCUGAGGUCUGAGAACUGGGGGAGCCGAUGGUGUAAGCCCUAGUCCAAGGGCAGGAGAAGAUAAGUCCCAGCUAAGCCGUGAGGCAGGGAAUAGGGUCAGGUUCUUCCUUCCUGCAUCUAUUCUUCUAUCCCAGCCAUGAAUGGAUUGGAUGAUUUUGUACCCACAUCAGGGAGAGAAUCUGCUUCACAGGGUCCAUGGAUUCAAGUGCCAAUGUCUCCAAAAACUCCCUCCCAGACAUCCCCAGAAAUGAUCUGGGGAUGAUCUCGGUACCUCGUGACCAGGAGCAGCAUAUUUCAAAUGCGAGGAUACAGGAGAACAGAAUCUUUCACAUCGCUGUUGUUGCUGUUUAGUUGCCGAGUCACGUCUGACUCUUCGCGAUCCCGUGGACUUUAAGCCCACCAGGCUCACUUGUUCACGGGAUUUUCCAGGCAACAAUACUGGAGUGGGUUGCCACUUCCUCCUCCAGGGGAUCUUCCUGACCCAGGGAUUGAACCUGAGUCUCUUUCAUUGGCAGGUGGAUUCUUUACCACUGAUUCACCUAGGAAGCCCAUCUUUCACAUUAGAGAAACUUGGACUCAGCUGUGUCCAGUUUGAGCUGGUUGAGACUGGCUAGGACAACGGACCCUCCCACUGGGCAUGUGGCAGUGUCCUCUCUGUGACCUUUGAUGUCAGAGGGCCAGGAGCUCCACCCUCAAAACAUGGCAACACCACAAGUUCUGGGCAUGCAGGCCUGGUUAUGUCUGCACAGAACGAUGAUGAUCACAGCUUUUCCUUAUUCCCACUUACCUUUCCCCAGGCUCCACACACAUUACAGCUCCAUCCCAUAAUUAUCCCAAGCCCCUCUCUUUCGGAGAGGUGGGUUUGGGAUCAGUUCUCCCAUCUCCUCUCUUGGCUGCAGUGUGAAUAAAGUCUUUGCUGCCAACCUCAGUGUCUUAGCCCUUGGCUUGCUGCACAUUGGGAAGGGAUGCCUGUAUGCUCAGUCUCUCAGUCGUGUUCCACUCUUUGCAACCCAUGGACUUUAGCCAAUCAGACUCUUCUCUCUAUGGGAUUUCCCAGGAAGAAAUCAGGCUUCCGGAGACAGCUGUCAUUAAUUGAAGUUAGGUCACACUGCAUCACAAACCUUCACCCCAGAACACUGAGUGCAAUAUUCUGGAUCGUAUCAGCUGCCUGUGUAGGACCCAUUCCUUCCAUGACGAAAUGUAUUUAAUUUGAUUUCUGAGUAUGAAUGACACACCUGUGAGAUAGAGUUUGGAAUUCAGUCUGCUCAUUUAACUGUAAAGAAAUACUCUAUUUGGUUCAAAAGUCAUCUUUUGGUUAUAAUAAUACUUGCCCCCUCAUCCGUAGUUCCUUCCUUCCUCCAUCCACUCACCCAUUAAUCCAUUAAUUUAUUCAAUAUUUAUUGUUCCUCUACAAUUGUAUGUGCUAUACAACCUUGUGAUGUUUUAGUUCAGAAAUACUGAAUAGGAAAUAAACUUUUCUC